AACAUGCCAUUGCUUACGUGGAAGGGGAUAAUUACUAUGAAGUAUCAUCUUUAUUACUAGACGGUUCAUAGGGGUUCUUUCAAGUCUUAUCUCUCUAUUCAAACACAAAUUUAUUAUCGGAUACUGUUUACUCUCCGUUUCUCACAUGUGCAACUACAAAGUGCUUCUUAACCUCCUCACUGAAGUAACUGGACAUGUUAUAAUACGGGCUCAUCUCUUAUAAUUUUCUUGGAUCCUCACAACAGAGGUUCAAGUCUUUAUGUCUGUUCCUGGAAU
rnacentral:lncRNA from 1 species